rnacentral:rRNA from 1 species
UACGGGGGGAGCAAGCGUUGUUCGGAUUUACUGGGCGUAAAGGGCGCGUAGGCGGCCUGUUAAGUCGAACGUGAAAUCCCCGGGCUCAACCCGGGAACUGCGUCCGAUACUGGCAGGCUUGAAUCCGGGAGAGGGAUGCGGAAUUCCAGGUGUAGCGGUGAAAUGCGUAGAUAUCUGGAGGAACACCGGUGGCGAAGGCGGCAUCCUGGACCGGCAUUGACGCUGAGGCGCGAAAGCCAGGGGAGCAAACGGG